rnacentral:lncRNA from 1 species
GUUGAAUGUGAGGCUCAGAGCAGGUGCAGAGGAAGUGUGUGGGGGGGUGGGCAGCCUGCCCUGCCCCAUCCCUAUCUGAAUCUCCCCUGGCCCGGAGCAGCUGUGGUUGUGAUGUCCUCCAGCCCUGAAAUGGGCCAAGAUGGCAGAGGGCAGCCUCGGGCCUCUCCUUAGUGCCAGAGCUCCCAGCUGGGAUUAGCCCCACCCUUCCCUACUUAGCGGGCUCUUCCCAAUGCCCCAGAGCUGUCACACAGCUGGGCUCCACCAUGCACUGGGCUUGAGGCCUGGGGCUGUCUUGGAGAGACAGAGAAGGGGAAUAUGAGUGAAUGAACGUGAUGUGUGUGGGGGCAAGAGUGUGUGAGUAUGAAUAUAUGUAUGAAUGAAUGUGUGAGUGUAUGAUGUGUGUUGUAUGACUCUGAUGUUUGAGCGUGUGAAGUAUGUGUGGUGUGUGUCUGAGGUGUGUGUAAGGGUGCAAUGUAUGUUGUGUGAUACGUGUGUGGUGUGUGUGUGGUGUGUGGCUACAGUGUGAGUGUGUGUAGUGAGUGUGAACAUGUAGUGUGUGGCUAUGAGAGUGUGAGUGUGUUAUGUGUAAUGUGUCUGUGUGAAUGUAUGAUGUGUGGCUAUGAGUGUGUAUGUGCUGUGUGGUAUGUGUGUGAAUGUAGGAUGCGUGGCUGUGUGAUGUAUGUGUGUGUGUGAAUGUGUGGUGUGCGGCUAUGUGUGUGUGCUAUGUGUUGUGUGUGGUAUGUAGUUAUGAGUGUGUGUCACUGCGUGGUGUGUGGCUAUGAGUGUGUGUGUGCACACUCUAUGCUGUGUCUAGUGUGUGAGUGGUUGAGUGUGUGAGUGUGUGGUGUGUGGUUAUGAGUGUGUGUGUUCUCUGUCUAGUGUGUGUGGUGUGUGGUUAUGUGUGUGUGAUUGUGUGUGUGGUGUGUGUCCAUGAGUGUGUGUGUGCUCUGUAGAGUGUGUGAGUGUGUGGCUAUGAGUGUGUGUGUGCUCUGUGGAGUGUGUGUGUGGUGUGUGGCUAUGAGUGUGUGUGCUCUGUCUAGU